UUUGGAUGCUUUUAUCGUAGACCUUAGUGGUCCCCUAAUACUGUACUGAAGUCGCUUUAUAAGACCUUAUAUAGACCUUAUUGGUCCCGCUAAUACUGAUCUUAAGUCUGUUUAUAUAGACGUAGUGGUCCCCUAAUCAUGUAUCUGAGUCAUCUUUCUAUAAGACCUUAGUAGAUGAUCCCCUAAUACUGUAU